UACAGAGGUGGCAAGCGUUGUUCGGAAUUACUGGCGUAAGGCGCGUAGGCGGCCACCGCAAGUCGACUGUGAAUCUCCGGCUUAACCGAAAGGUCAGCCGAUACUGCGGCUAGAGUGCAGAAGGGCACUGAAUUCUCGUGUAGCGUGAAAUGCGCAGAUAUCAGAGACACGUGCGAAGCGGUCUCUGGCGAUACUGACGCUGAGGAGCGAAAGCGUGGGAGCGAACAG
rnacentral:rRNA from 1 species